rnacentral:rRNA from 1 species
CAUGUAGGCGGUCUGUCAAGUCUGAUGUGAAAGCCCGGGGCUCAACCCCGGAAGUGCAUUGGAAACUGGCAGACUUGAGUACGGGAGAGGAAAGUGGAAUUUCGAGUGUAGGGGUGAAAUCCGUAGAUAUCCGAAGGAACACCAGUGGCGAAGGCGGCUUUCUGGACCGAUACUGACGCUGAGAUGCGAAAGCGUGGGGAGCAAACAGGAUUAGAUACCCUGGUAGUCC